GGAGAGAAGGAGACCAGAUCUCCCUUCUCUCCCUGCCCUGCCCCUAUGUGAGAUACAGCAAGAAGGCGAGUAUCUGCAUACCAGAAAGGGGGCCCUCACAGGCACUGAAUCUGCCAGCACCUUGAUCUUGGACUUCCCAGCUCCCAAAUGAAAAGCAGAGGCCUAGUUAAUAUGCCUACUCAGAUGUCCUAAAACCCGAGUGUAUGCAGAGUUGAAUGAAACGGGACUGGGAGACAAUACAUCGAACUGUUAAGAUGUUCUCUCUGAAUAACGGCAGUACAGACAAACCACCACUUGCUUUGCUGUUUCUGAAUUAUUCAAAAAACCUUUCUAUUAUAUCAUAAUACAUUACUUCUGCAAUGACAGGGGGUGUCUUUUUCUUUUUUUCCCUUUCUUUCAUUUUUCUUUGAAUGUGUUGUUAGAGCCAAAAAGCUUUCUCAGCAUUCAGGGAUCCAAGGGUUGAAGCAACAGUACCAGGAGGAAGCUGGGUUUUAGAAGAGACCUGAUGAGCACCUGACUCCUUUCUGACAAAUGUGCUGCAAGCCUCAUUUAGCAGAAAAUGACACAACACAAAUCCAAACAUCUUUCCACAAAAACGAUGUUGGGAGGAAGGCAUGGAUUACUUUUAUUGAUUGACUGGGACAGGGUCUCGCUCUGUCGUCCAGGAUGGAGUACAGUGGUGCCACCACGGCUCACUGCAGCCUCAACCUCCUGGGCUCAAGUAAUCCUCUCAUCUCAGCCUCCCAGGUACCUGGGACUACAGGUGUGUGCCACCAUAUCCGGUUAAGUUUUUUUUUAAGUUUUUAUAGAGACAAGUUCACGCUAUGUUGCCCAGGCUGGUUUGAAACUCCGAGGCUCAAGUGAUCUUUUUGCCUUGGCCUCCCAAAGUGCUGGAAUUAAAGGCAUGAGCCACUGCACCCCGCUGGAUUAGUGUUUUUUUAAAAGACAAUGUAAUGAACUGGAAUAUUCCAAUCCCUAGAAUAAUGUAUAAAAAAUAAAUCAAUGAUUUAAGAUGCUGUAGAAAUGCAUUUUUUCCCACCCAUGAAAUCGUCCAAGGGCAGUGAACGUCAGCUCAUGUACCUGCAUGUUGGCAAACAAGUGGAAUUUCCUAAAACUCCAGAACUAUGCCCCACCCCACUCCUAGGUAUGUCUAUUCGCAUCAUACACAGCCACCGUGAUAUGCAUUUGCGGGGAAAGCCAGGAUGGCCAUGACGAUCACAGAAAGUUAGUCUCAUCUUGCCCUCUCUCCGCUCUGCCCAGGCUGGUUUGGUCUCUCCCAUCCUUAGCCUCAAGGUCACAGUAAGCGUACCAUGUUCAAGACAAGAGCCCACUGUGUGGGACAGUAUCUUCGCUGCACAGCCCUGAGGAGGCCUCCGAACAUGCCCCAUCACACCAGAUGCACUCAAAAACAUACGGUGUCAUUUACCCCCAUGUGCCUAGAGCCCUAGACUCUGCACUUUGCUGUGUGCCAACCCAGGCUAGCCAGCACGGCCUUCAGACCCAGCCCCAGCUCUCACGCAGCCGCACCUCCCUCCUGUCCGAGCAAAGUUCGUCUUGCCUUGACUGGACGUCCAAAGUUUCCACAAGAGCCUUCAGAUAUCCAGUGAGCUCCAAACUGGCCACACAGCCACCAGAGAGAUCCUGUUUUGAAGUGCUGGAUUAUGAUAUUUAUUUACACUGACCACAGAAUGUAUUUAUUUUUAACUUUCACUGUGGAAAUUUUCAAGCAUAUCCACAAGAAGAGAGACUAGAAUAAUGGACUUCCAUCUUCUCAUCCCCUGACUUCAAGAUCACCACUAACACAUGGACCACUGGCUUCCUUUCUACCUCGUCUCACCUCCCGCUCCAUUCCUACCCCCUGGAGUCUUUUGAAGCAAAUACUUGACAUCAUCUUAUGUUAACUGAACAUCAGAGUGAUUGAUUUCUUCCUAUAUAAAUCCAAUUGUUUCACUUCCCUGUUCAGAAUCCUUCAAACUUAGUAUAAAAGCCAAGCUCCAUUCUGUGGCAUCUUGGGUGGGACCUGGUCCCUUCUUGGGCCCGCCCUGGUCCCUUCUUGGGCCCCUCCCCUGCUUGUCUCCAGCCCCGGCCUUCUCGCUGCUCCCUAAACACAGAGGCAGGCCCACCGAGCCUCCGCACCUUCCCUGACGCCUUCUAGCAGCCUGGACCCUCCUCCACCAGCAUCCUCAAGGCCCCUCCCUCACUUCUGUCACACCUUUAAUCAACUGCCACCCUCCCUGAGAACCCUUCCCUGAAUCCCUAUCUGGACCAUAGCAAGGACUCGACAAAUAUUUAAUGACUGAAUGCAUGUAAUAAAAGUCAAUAACCCUGUGAAACCAGGGAGAGAAGACAGAGUUGUUCCUGUUAUUCAGAUGAGAAAACUGAGGCUCAGCAUGGUUAAGUGAAUUGCCCAAAGACACACAGCUCUUCUUUUUUUUUUUUGAGACGGAGUCUCUCUGUGUUGCCCAGGCUGGAGUGCACUGGCGCCAUCUCGGCUCACUGCAAGCUCCGCCUCCCGGGUUCACGCCAUUCUCCUGCCUCAGCCUCCCGAGUAGCUGGGACUACAGAUGCCUGCCACCACACCUGGCUACUUUUUUUGUAUUUUUUUAGUAGAGACGGGGUUUCGCCAUGUUAGCCAGGAUGGUCCCGAUCUCCUGACCUCGUGAUCCGCCCGCCUCGGCCUCCCAAAGUGCUGGGAUUACAGGCGUGAGCCACUGCGCCCAGUCGACACACAGCUCUUAAAUGGUGGAAAAGACUUUGAACACAGGUCUUGACUCCAAAUUCCAUGCAUUUUCCAUUCCUGUGUUGCUUCUCUGAAAUGAAACGUUGCUUCAGUUGAUAUAAUUAAGACACAGGUUUACAUCAAAUGUAUUCAUUCAUUCAACAAACAGUAUCUCACUGUUUGAACGCUCAGUAUGUGGCAGGCACUGUUCUGAGCAGCAGAGAAACUGGAGUGUGGUGGGCAGAAUAGUGUCCCCCAAAGAGGUCCAUGUCCUAAUCCCCAUCACCUGUGACUAUGUUAGGUUACAUGGGAGGUGGAAUAGGGCUCAUCAGCUGACCUUCAUAUGAGGACAUUAUCUUGCAUUCCUUGGGUGGGCCCAGUGUCCUCACAAGGCUCCUCAACAGUGAAAGAGAGAGGCAGGGGAGUGGGAGAGAGAUUUAAAAUGCUACUCUGCUGGCUCUGAAGACAAAGGAAGGGGCUACAAGCCAAGGAAUGCGAGUGGUCUCUGAAAAAGGCAAGGAAACAAGAUUCUGCCCUUGUACCUCCAGGAAGGAUUAAGGUCUGCAGAUAUUUUAAUCUUAUUCCAGUGAUACUUAUUUCUUUUUUUUUUUUUAAUCUUUUUAUGUUUUUGUUUUUGUUUUGAGACAAGGUCUCAUUCUGUUGCCCAGGCUGGAGUGCAGUGGUGCAAUCUCGGCUCACUGCAGCCUCAACCUCCUGGGCUCAAGUGGUCCUCCUGUCUCGGUCUCCUGAGUAGCUGGGACUACAGCUGCAUGUCACCACACCUGGCUAAUUUUUUAAAAACUUUUUGUAGAGAUGGGAGUCUCAUUAUAUUGCCCAGGCUGGUCUUGAACUCCUGGGCUCAAGUGAUCCUCCCAUCUCAGCCUCCAAGUAUCUGGGACCACAGGCAUGAGACCCAUUUCUGACUUCUGACCUUCAUAGCUCUAAGGGAGUCUAUCUGUGUUGUUUUAAGCCACUGAGCGUGUGGCAAUCUGUUACAGCAACAACUGGAAACAAAAAAAGAAAGUGAAGAAGGUAACAAGGUCCCUGCCCUCAAAAAGCCUCCUCUUUUUUUUGGAGUGAGGGGGAGUCUGGCACCUUCCACCGGGCCACUCUGGAUGCAGAGGUCUUCCUACCACAGGUCCGUGCUCACUGCAGCCCAGCUGCCUCUGUUAGGACAGGCUGUCAGCGCCUCAGGAACAGGUUCUUCUGUUACCAAACAAAGUCUAUUUGCUAAUUUCCUAUUCAAGAGUGACACUCAUAGGCUUUAUAGGGCUUUUCUACUGUAUUUUAGCCAGACGUAGGAAAUUAGCUCCAUAAAAGAAAAGAAGAGGACAGAAGGGAAAGGGAGUGGAAGGGAGGAGAGGAAACAAAACUAGUUGAAGUGCUUCUUAGAUUCUCGGCAAAUCCACCUCCAGACCCCCUGAAACUCCUGUCUCAGCGGCUCUGUGUUUUGGCCCCACGUCCUCUGAGAGUUGGCAGAAUGGAAACUUGGCCUCCACCCAAGAGGCACAGACAGUGCCUCAUAAUUAGAAGCUACUCAGGGCAUCCCAGACUAAAACACACAUCAGCAAAAUGUCAUUGCCUGACCUGGGAAGGUGUUCAUCU
rnacentral:lncRNA from 1 species